AUCUACGGCCAUGCCACCCUGAGCAAUCCCAAUCCCAUUUGAUCUUGGAAGCUAAGCAGGGUUAGGCCUGGUUCAUCCUUGGAUGGGAGACAACCUAAGAAGACCAGGUGCUGUAGGCA
rnacentral:rRNA from 1 species